rnacentral:rRNA from 1 species
CCUACGGGAGGCAGCAGUGGGGGAUAUUGCACAAUGGGGGGAACCCUGAUGCAGCGACGCCGCGUGUGGGAAGACGGUCCUCUGGAUUGUAAACCACUGUCGCCAGGGACGAAAAUGACGGGACCUGGGGAGGAAGCACCGGCAUACUACGUGCCAGCAGCCGCGGUAAUACGGAGGGAGCGAGCGUGGUCCGGAAUUACGGGGUGUAAAGGGAGCGGAGGGGGGGAUUCGAGAUGGGUGUCAAAACUACCGGCUCAACUGGUAGUCGCACUCAAAACUGCAGCUCUUGAGUGAAGUAGAGGCAGGCGGAAUUCCUAGUGUAGCGGUGAAAUGCGUAGAUAUUAGGAGGAACACCAGUGGCGAAGGCGGCCUGCUGGGCUUUUACUGACGCUGAGGCUCGAAAGUGUGGGGAGCAAACAGGAUUAGAUACCCCGGUAGUC